AUUGAACGCUGGCGGCAUGCCUUACACAUGCAAGUCAAACGGUAACGGGCCUUCGGGUGCCGACGAGUGGCGAACGGGUGAGUAAUGCAUCGGAACGUACCUUUCAGUGGGGGAUAACGUAGCGAAAGUUACGCUAAUACCGCAUAUUCUGUGAGCAGGAAAGCAGGGGAUCGCAAGACCUUGCGCUGAUUGAGCGGCCGAUGUCAGAUUAGCUAGUUGGUGAGGUAAAGGCUCACCAAGGCGACGAUCUGUAGCGGGUCUUCGAGAAUGAUCCGCCACACUGGAACUUGGACACGGUCCAGACUCCUACGGGAGGCAGCAGUGGGGAAUUUUGGACAAUGGGGGCAACCCUGAUCCAGCCAUGCCGCGUGAGUGAAGAAGGCCUUCGGGUUGUAAAGCUCUUUCGGUCGGGAAGAAAUCGCAUGGGUUAAUACCCUGUGCGGAUGACGGUACCGGCAUAAGAAGCACCGGCUAACUACGUGCCAGCCGCCGCCGUAACAC
rnacentral:rRNA from 1 species